AACCCAUUGUGAGGGAACCUUCUCUAUAAGUCCUUAUACCUCUCCCAUGCAUCAUAUAGAGUCUUUAAAUCCAUUUGCACAAAUGAAGAGAUAUCAUUCCUUAACUU
rfam:Gossypium arboreum cultivar AKA8401 contig_52828_1, whole genome shotgun sequence.